UACGUAGGUGGCAAGCGUUGUCCGGAUUUACUGGGCGUAAAGAGCGCGCAGGCGGUCGUUCAAGUCGCGUGUGAAAGCCCCCGGCUCAACUGGGGAGGGUCACGCGAUACUGAUCGACUCGAAGGCAGGAGAGGGUAGUGGAAUUCCCGGUGUAGUGGUGAAAUGCGUAGAUAUCGGGAGGAACACCAGUGGCGAAGGCGACUACCUGGCCUGUGCUUGACGCUGAGGCGCGAAAGCUAGGGGAGCAAACGGG
rnacentral:rRNA from 1 species